UACGGGGGGGGCAAGCGUUGUCCGGAAUUACUGGGCGUAAAGGGCUCGUAGGUGGCCAACUAAGUCAGCCGUGAAAUCCCCAGGCUUAACCUGGGAACUGCGUCUGAUACUGGAUGGCUUGAAUUCGGGAGAGGGAUGCAGAAUUCCAGGUGUAGCGGUGAAAUGCGUAGAUAUCUGGAGGAAUACCGGUGGCGAAGGCGGCAUCCUGGACCGAGAUUGACACUGAUGAGCGAAAGCCAGGGGAGCAAACGGG
rnacentral:rRNA from 1 species